AGUGAACGCUGGCGGUAGGCCUAACACAUGCAAGUCGAACGGCAGCACAGUAAGAGCUUGCUCUUACGGGUGGCGAGUGGCGGACGGGUGAGGAAUACAUCGGAAUCUACUUUUUCGUGGGGGAUAACGUAGGGAAACUUACGCUAAUACCGCAUACGACCUACGGGUGAAAGCAGGGGAUCUUCGGACCUUGCGCGAUUGAAUGAGCCGAUGUGGGAUUAGUUAGUUGGCGGGGUAAAGGCCCACCAAGGCGACGAUCCGUAGCUGGUCUGAGAGGAUGAUCAGCCACACUGGAACUGAGACACGGUCCAGACUCCUACGGGAGGCAGCAGUGGGGAAUAUUGGACAAUGGGCGCAAGCUUGAUCCAGCCAUACCGCGUGGGUGAAGAAGGCCUUCGGGUUGUAAAGCCCUUUUGUUGGGAAAGAAAAGCAGCAGGUUAAUACCCCGCUGUUCUGACGGUACCCAAAGAAUAAGCACCGGCUAACUUCGUG
rnacentral:rRNA from 1 species